rnacentral:rRNA from 1 species
AUUGAACGCUGGCGGCAGGCCUAACACAUGCAAGUCGAGCGGCAGCGGGAAAGUAGCUUGCUACUUUUGCCGGCGAGCGGCGGACGGGUGAGUAAUGACUGGGAAAUUGCCCAGUCGAGGGGGAUAACAGUUGGAAACGACUGCUAAUACCGCAUACGCCCUACGGGGGAAAGCAGGGGACUUUCGGGCCUUGCGCGAUUGGAUAUGCCCAGGUGGGAUUAGCUAGUUGGUGAGGUAAUGGCUCACCAAGGCGACGAUCCCUAGCUGGUCUGAGAGAAUAAUCAGCCACACUGGAACUGAGACACGGUCCAGACUCCUACGGGAGGCAGCAGUGGGAAAUAUUGCACAAUGGGGGAAACCCUGAUGCAGCCAUGCCGCGUGUGUGAAGAAGGCCUUCGGGUUGUAAAGCACUUUCAGCGAGGAGGAAAGGUUGAUGCCUAAUACGUAUCAACUGUGACGUUACUCGCAGAAGAAGCACCGGCUAACUCCGUGCCAGCAGCCGCUGUAA